CCUACGGGAGGCAGCAGUGGGGAAUAUUGCACAAUGGGGGAAACCCUGAUGCAGCGACGCAGCGUGAGUGAAGAAGUAAUUCGUUAUGUAAAGCUCUAUCAGCAGGGAAGAAAAUGACGGUACCUGAGUAAGAAGCCCCGGCUAACUACGUGCCAGCAGCCGCGGUAAUACGUAGGGGGCAAGCGUUAUCCGGAUUUACUGGGGGGAAAGGGAGCGUAGACGGCAGUGCAAGUCUGGAGUGAAAGGCGGGGGCUCAACCCCCGGACUGCUCUGGAAACUGUACGGCUGGAGUGCAGGAGAGGUAAGUGGAAUUCCUAGUGUAGCGGUGAAAUGCGUAGAUAUUAGGAGGAACACCAGUGGCGAAGGCGACUUACUGGACUGUAACUGACGUUGAGGCUCGAAAGCGUGGGGAGCAAACAGGAUUAGAUACCCGGGUAGUC
rnacentral:rRNA from 1 species